rnacentral:rRNA from 1 species
UACGGAGGGGGCGAGCGUUGUCCGAAGUUACUGGGCGUAAAGCGCACGUAGGCGGCUUUGUAAGUUAGAGGUGAAAGCCCGGAGCUCAACUCCGGAACUGCCUUUAAGACUGCAUCGCUUGAAUCCAGGAGAGGUGAGUGGAAUUCCGAGUGUAGAGGUGAAAUUCGUAGAUAUUCGGAAGAACACCAGUGGCGAAGGCGGCUCACUGGACUGGUAUUGACGCUGAGGUGGCGAAAGCGUGGGGAGCAAACAGG